rnacentral:piRNA from 1 species
UAAGAGACAAGCUACAGUAGAGAUAAUCUU